UCCUGUACUUAACGAAGGAGGAGGGUCUCGCGAGAUUUGAGAACAGACUCCUUCCUUCCUUCUCUUACCCCUUUCCCAACUCACUGCACUUUCUUGAAGGAGGUCUUUGACUUUAACACCAGAGUUCAUAUAUCCUAAGUCUGUGAGAAAGACUACUUUACAGUUUCUGUGCCUUCCAGCUAAGAACUCUGACAGAUGUAACAGUUCAAAUUGACAGGACUGGUGGAAUAUGAUAUGAUAUUCUGUUGCAAUAUUGAACUGCAGCAAGCUGAGGAUCCCAGCCAGCCAUGGUGGAUCACAAAUGCAUGAUUGUUCUGAGUGUGAUUAAUCAACAGACUAAGAACUUUUCCUUAUCAAAUAAAAUUUGUGCCAAGAGCUUUUGCUCAGCA